AUUGAACGCUGGCGGCAGGCCUAACACAUGCAAGUCGAACGAGUGGCGGACGGGUGAGUAAUGUCUGGGAAACUGCCUGAUGGAGGGGGAUAACUACUGGAAACGGUCGCUAAUACCGCAUACCAUCAGCUGUGCCCAGAUGGGAUUAGCUUGUUGGUGGGGUAACGGCUCACCAAGGCGACGAUCCCUAGCUGGUCUGAGAGGAUGACCGUCGACACUGCAAAUGAGGCACGGUCUGGACUCUUACGUGAGGAAGCAGUGGGGAAUAUUGCACAAUGGGCGCAAGCCGGAUGCAGCCAUGCCGAGUGUGUGGAGAAGGCCUUCGGGUUGUAAAGGACGUUAAGCGGGGAGGCGUUACCCGCAGAAGAAGCACCGGCAAACUCCGUGCCAGCAGCCGCGGUAAUUC
rnacentral:rRNA from 1 species